rnacentral:rRNA from 1 species
CACAAGCAGCGGAGCGUGUGGUUUAAUUCGAUGCAACGCGAAGAACCUUACCAAGGCUUGACAUGCCAGAAGUAGGAACUCGAAAGAGAGACCACCUGUAUCCAGUCAGGAACUGGCACAGGUGCUGCAUGGCUGUCGUCAGCUCGUGCCGUGAGGUGUUAGGUUAAGUCCUGCAACGAGCGCAACCCUCGUCGCUAGUUAAAUUUUUCUAGCGAUACUGCCCGUAAAACGAGGAGGAAGGUGGGAUGACGUCAAGUCACGCACUGGCCCUUACGCCUUGGGCUACACACACGCUACAAUGGGUGAUACAACGGGUUGCGAGAGAGCGAUCUGGAGCUAAUCCCUAAAAUCAUCCUCAGUUCGGAUUGCAGGCUGAAACUGCCUGCAUGAAGUUGGAAUCGCUAGUAAUCGUGGAUCAGCCAAGCCGCGGUGAAUACGUUCCCGGGCCUU